UCUCCGUUGGUGAACCAGCGGAGGGAUCAUUACUGUAUAACCUAGGUCCUAAGCCUUUGUGUACCUCGAAAUGUCGUGCACGCGCGAGGCCCCUCACCCACCUCCCUCGCCCCCCUCUCUGCACCACCUCGUGGAUCCCCCUGUGGCAUGUUCGGGGGGUGGCUUACGUUUUCACACAAUCAUCAAAUGCUUUGUAGACUGUAUUUUUGGUUUUUGCGGCCACGCAAUCGAUACAACUUUCAACAACGGACCGCUUGUCACCCGCAUCCAUGAAGCACC
rnacentral:misc_RNA from 1 species